UAUUGGACAAUGGGCGCAAGCCUGAUCCAGCAAUGCCGCGUGUGUGAAGAAGGCCUGCGGGUUGUAAAGCACUUUCAGUAGGGAGGAAGGCCUCAAUGUUAAUAGUAUUGAGGAUUGACGUUACCUACAGAAGAAGCACCGGCUAACUCUGUGCCAGCAGCCGCGGUAAUACAGAGGGUGCAAGCGUUAAUCGGAAUUACUGGGCGUAAAGGGCGCGUAGGUGGUUAUUUAAGUCAGAUGUGAAAUCCCUGGGCUUAACCUAGGAAUUGCAUUUGAAACUAGAUGGCUAGAGUAUGGUAGAGGGAAGUGGAAUUUCCGGUGUAGCGGUGAAAUGCGUAGAUAUCGGAAGGAACACCAGGGCGAAGGCGACUUCCUGACCAUUACGACACUGAGGCGCGAAA
rnacentral:rRNA from 1 species